GGAGAACUUUAACAGUCAGCUCUAAGUUCUGUUUGCAGUUCCAUUUUUAAAAGGAGGCUGGAGAGAUGGCUCGAUGCUUAAAGGCAUGCACUGUAACAAAAGACCCAGAUUCUCUUCCCAGCAACCACGUGGCAGCUCGAUCUGUCUGCACCUCCAGUUCCAGGGCCUCUGACCGUGCUGUUAUCCUUUUCUGUGGACAGACUUCCUGGGAUACGUAUACAGCCAUGGCUAACCUGAAACUAACCUGAAAUUCAAGAUGGGUAAUGUCCAGAGUUCAAUUCCCAGCAACCACAUGUUGGCUCACAACCAUCUACAACAGGAUCUGAUAGCCCUCUUCUGGUGCGUCUGAAGACAGCUUCAGUAAACUCAUAUGAAUAAAAUAAAAAUCUUAAAUAU
rnacentral:lncRNA from 1 species